rnacentral:rRNA from 1 species
GAUGAACGCUGGCGGCAGGCCUAACACAUGCAAGUCGAGCGGCAGCGGAAAGUAGCUUGCUACUUUGCCGGCGAGCGGCGGACGGGUGAGUAAUGUCUGGGAAACUGCCUGAUGGAGGGGGGUAACUACUGGAAACGGUAGCUAAUACCGCAUAACGUCGCAAGACCAAAGAGGGGGACCUUCAGGCCUCUUGCCAUCAGAUGUGCCCAGAUGGGAUUAGCUAGUAGGUGGGGUAACGGCUCACCUAGGCGACGAUCCCUAGCUGGUCUGGGAGGAUGACCAGCCACACUGGAACUGAGACACGGUCCAGACUCCUACGGGAGGCAGCAGUGGGGAAUAUUGCACAAUGGGCGCAAGCCUGAUGCAGCCAUGCCGCGUGUAUGAAGAAGGCCUUCGGGUUGUAAAGUACUUUCAGCGGGGAGGAAGGCGAUAAGGUUAAUAACCUUGUCGAUUGACGUUACCCGCAGAAGAAGCACCGGCUAACUCCGUGCCAGCCGCCGCCGUAA